rnacentral:rRNA from 1 species
CGCUGUCUGCAGGCCUAACACAUGCGAGUCGAGCGGAAACGAGUUAUCUGAACCUUCCUUAUACGAUACCGUCGACCUCCAGGGAACGGGUGAGUAAUGCCUAGGAAAUUGCCCUGAUGUGGGGGAUAACCAUUGGAAACGAUGGCUAAUACCGCAUAAUACCUACGGGUCAAAGAGGGGGACCUUCGGGCCUCUCGCGUCAGGAUAUGCCUAGGUGGGAUUAGCUAGUUGGUGAGGUAAUGGCUCACCAAGGCGACGAUCCCUAGCUGGUCUGAGAGGAUGAUCAGCCACACUGGAACUGAGACACGGUCCAGACUCCUACGGGAGGCAGCAGUGGGGAAUAUUGCACAAUGGGCGCAAGCCUGAUGCAGCCAUGCCGCGUGUGUGAAGAAGGCCUUCGGGUUGUAAAGCACUUUCAGUCGUGAGGAAGGUAGUGUAGUUAAUAGCUGCAUUAUUUGACGUUAGCGACAGAAGAAGCACCGGCUAACUCCGUGCCAGCAGCCGCGGUAAUACGGAGGGUGCGAGCGUUAAUCGGAAUUACUGGGCGUAAAGCGCAUGCAGGUGGUUUGUUAAGUCAGAUGUGAAAGCCCGGGGCUCAACCUCGGAAUAGCAU